rnacentral:tmRNA from 1 species
UUUCGACGGGGACGGCGAAUCCGGAUAAGCGAGUAGCGGUGAGGCGCCGCUAUAAAAGCCUCAACUUCAAAAUAAACGACAAGAAUACAGUCGCUCUCGCUGCUUGAUGCAGCCGCCGACCGGAGAGUACCGCGGCUCCGGAGCCGGCGUCGACAGCGGUUCCUGUGAACGGCGCACGCCUUUAGGCCGUCACACAUCAAAGGCUACUGAAGCGUGAAGCCUGUUAUUGGGCGCCACGCAGAGGGAAUGUCAAAGCAAUAACUGCACUCGGAGAAAAUCCGGUGGAACUGUUUUCGGACGCGGGUUCAAUUCCCGCCAUCUCCACCA